AAAUUAUUGACGGGCGGCAAUGGCCGCGGCUGUGUUGAAAGUUGCACAUUUCUCUGCGGAUACUGCAUUAUAAACGUUGAUAUUUUCACCACGUGCUAUAUAACCAAAAUGCGCACCUUGGAUGUACAUGUUAAAUGCACACAGAGCUGUUUAGAGAGAGUUCCUGAAAGUUUCAAAUAGUUCCAGCGGGUCUGUUAUUUUUUUUUCUCUUUACACGCAUUUCAACAAUCUGUGACGGAGAAUGUGCUGAUGCGCGUGCGUGUGUGAGAGAGAUGAGUCCCACAUGUCAACGCAGGUCGUUUGAAUUGACAGCAAAACGUCAAGGUUUUGUCUAUUCCUGCAUUGGCAAAAUGAAGGUUUUUCUUCUUGUAGCAAUUGUGGCUUUAACUUACAGCAAUGUUGCUGCAGGAAAGACAAAGAGAUUGCUGGCGGCUAUAAAUGCAGGAGUUUUACCAGGCAUUAAUGGAGCAGUCUUGCCAGGCAUUAAUGGAGGACUGUUGCCAGGAGUUAAUGGAGGACUGUUGCCAGGUGUUAAUGGAGGACUGUUGCCAGGCAUUAAUGGAGGACUGUUGCCAGGAGUUAAUGGAGGACUGUUGCCAGUUAUGAAUGGAGGACUUGGAAAUGGCGUAAACCCCGGGCUCAUCGCUGGAAGGCUGAACCCACCUAUGGUAGCUGGUGGUGGGGCAGGUUUUAUGGGACAGCCCCAGUUUGCUCAGUUUGUUCCUGCUGCUCAAGCCUUUGCACCUCGUCCACAAAUCCCCAAUCCGUAUUCUUUCCCAGCAUUCAACGUGCCACUUUUCAAUGGAGUUCCUCAGAUGGGCCCUAUGAAUCCAGCUCAGCAGCCUUUGAUGGGAUUUGUUGGUGGUGCUGUGCCACAGCAGCUUCCCCCUCAGCCUGAUGUUGUUCAAAGAUUCAGGCGUGACACAAGGAUGUCAGAGAACGCCCUGAAGAGUAACGUGGAUACCCAGAUCCCUUCUCCAAAUGGACCGAUGACAACACCUCCACCACUUCCUUGUGUUACUCAUCAGGACAAUAAUCAAGUUUAAAGUGCCUUGAUUAUUUUUACAACAGCACAAUCACUUAAAUGCUGAGAUAAUGGAAUAUACAUGGUUUAAUUAUCUACAGAG
rnacentral:lncRNA from 1 species